rnacentral:rRNA from 1 species
UGCAGUCGAGCGGAACGAGUUAUCUGAACCUUCGGGGAACGAUAACGGCGUCGAGCGGCGGACGGGUGAGUAAUGCCUAGGAAAUUGCCCUGAUGUGGGGGAUAACCAUUGGAAACGAUGGCUAAUACCGCAUGAUGCCUACGGGCCAAAGAGGGGGACCUUCGGGCCUCUCGCGUCAGGAUAUGCCUAGGUGGGAUUAGCUAGUUGGUGAGGUAAGGGCUCACCAAGGCGACGAUCCCUAGCUGGUCUGAGAGGAUGAUCAGCCACACUGGAACUGAGACACGGUCCAGACUCCUACGGGAGGCAGCAGUGGGGAAUAUUGCACAAUGGGCGCAAGCCUGAUGCAGCCAUGCCGCGUGUGUGAAGAAGGCCUUCGGGUUGUAAAGCACUUUCAGUCGUGAGGAAGGUGGUGUAGUUAAUAGCUGCAUUAUUUGACGUUAGCGACAGAAGAAGCACCGGCUAACUCCGUGCCAGCAGCCGCGGUAAUACGGAGGGUGCGAGCGUUAAUCGGAAUUACUGGGCGUAAAGCGCAUGCAGGUGGUUUGUUAAGUCAGAUGUGAAAGCCCGGGGCUCAACCUCGGAAUAGCAUUUGAAACUGGCAGACUAGAGUACUGUAGAGGGGGGUAGAAUUUCAGGUGUAGCGGUGAAAUGCGUAGAGAUCUGAAGGAAUACCGGUGGCGAAGGCGGCCCCCUGGACAGAUACUGACACUCAGAUGCGAAAGCGUGGGGAGCAAACAGGAUUAGAUACCCUGGUAGUCCACGCCGUAAACGAUGUCUACUUGGAGGUUGUGGCCUUGAGCCGUGGCUUUCGGAGCUAACGCGUUAAGUAGACCGCCUGGGGAGUACGGUCGCAAGAUUAAAACUCAAAUGAAUUGACGGGGCCCGCACAAGCGGUGGAGCAUGUGGUUUAAUUCGAUGCAACGCGAAGAACCUUACCUACUCUUGACAUCCAGAGAACUUUCCAGAGAUGGAUUGGUGCCUUCGGGAACUCUGAGACAGGUGCUGCAUGGCUGUCGUCAGCUCGUGUU